AGAGGAGAGAGAAUUGUCCAUGUCACCACCACUCUGAAUUGCAUAAGCGGGCCAUUGAAAGCCAAAAUAAUUUAACAGUACAAAAUUUCAAAGUUCAAGGCGUUUAUGUUAUUUUUAAGAUACAGCUCUGUCACAACCACUAAAGUUCAGAGACAAUUAUUGAAAGUUAUCCAUAAAUAACGAAAGAGUUGUAACAGAUUACUAUCCAAGAAAUAUCGAGAUUUCAAUCAACUCCUCUCUAAUCCUCUUUAUUCUUUUCUCCUUCUAUUUCUCUCUCUAUAAUUAUCUCUCUAUGAUUCUUCUCCUUUUAUUUCCCUUCCAUUUUCUUUCUCUAUUUCUCUAAUUUCUGCUCCUCUAGAAUUGAGAAUUGUGUUUCAUAGCAGAUGGUAUCAGAGCUUGAUUUCGAUUAGGCAUUGUUUCAAAUCUAUUAAGGGGAGUUGCAAUUAUGGCUCGAUGCAUGGCAAGCCCUAAAUUCCAAGUUCUUUCUGAAACUACUCUUCUCUCUACUCUUCUUCUUCUUUUCUU
rnacentral:misc_RNA from 1 species